rnacentral:rRNA from 1 species
CAAGUCGAACGCAAGGCUUCGGCCUUGAGUGGCGCACGGGUGAGUAGCGCGUGGGAACCUGCCCUGUCGUGGGGGAUAACCAAGGGAAACUUCGGCUAAUACCGCAUAAGCCGGGAAACCGGGAAAGAUUUAUCGCGAUAGGAGGGGCCCGCGUCGGAUUAGCUUGUUGGUGGGGUAACGGCCUACCAAGGCGAUGAUCCGUAGCUGGUCUGAGAGGAUGAUCAGCCACACUGGGACUGAGACACGGCCCAGACUCCUACGGGAGGCAGCAGUGGGGAAUAUUGGACAAUGGGCGCAAGCCUGAUCCAGCAAUGCCGCGUGAGUGAGGAAGGCCUUCGGGUUGUAAAGCUCUUUCGGCGGGGACGAUGAUGACGGUACCCGCAGAAGAAGCCCCGGCUAACUUCGUGCCAGCAGCCGCGGUAAUACGAAGGGGGCGAGCGUUGUUCGGAUUUACUGGGCGUAAAGGGCGCGCAGGCGGCGAGUUUUGUCAGGCGUGAAAGCCCCGGGCUCAACCUGGGAACUGCGCUUGAAACGGGCUUGCUGGAGACCGGGAGAGGAGAGUGGAAUUCCCAGUGUAGAGGUGAAAUUCGUAGAUAUUGGGAAGAACACCGGUGGCGAAGGCGGCUCUCUGGACCGGAUCUGACGCUGAGGCGCGAAAGCGUGGGGAGCAAACAGGAUUAGAUACCCUGGUAGUCCACGCCGUAAACGAUGUGUGCUAGACGUUGGGGAGCCUAGCUCUUCGGUGUCGCAGCUAACGCGGUAAGCACACCGCCUGGGGAGUACGGCCGCAAGGUUAAAACUCAAAGGAA